rnacentral:rRNA from 1 species
CCUACGGGAGGCAGCAGUGAGGAAUAUUGGUCAAUGGACGAGAGUCUGAACCAGCCAAGUAGCGUGAAGGAUGACUGCCCUAUGGGUUGUAAACUUCUUUUAUAUGGGAAUAAAAUGUUCCACGUGUGGGCUUUUGUAUGUACCAUAUGCAUAAGGAUCGGCUAACUCCGUGCCAGCAGCCGCGGUAAUACGGAGGAUCCGAUCGUUAUCCGGAUUUAUUGGGUUUAAAGGGAGCGUAGGUGGAUUGUUAAGUCAGUUGUGAAAGUUUGCGGCUCAACCGUAAAAUUGCAGUUGAAACUGGCAGUCUUGAGUACAGUAGAGGUGGGCGGAAUUCGUGGUGUAGCGGUGAAAUGCUUAGAUAUCACGAAGAACUCCGAUUGCGAAGGCAGCUCACUGGACUGCAACUGACACUGAGGCUCGAAAGUGUGGGUAUCAAACAGGAUUAGAUACCCUAGUAGUC